UUGUAAUAUCUCUUGCAUUUUUAGUAUCGGCUGUGUGGAGACCAAUUAGUUUAUUUUCUAUCUUCAUACUGUUCCAUCUUAGGUAUUAACCGAUCCCAGUCACCUGGUCUAGCAGGUCAGGAUCUGGAUCAACAUGUUCGAAACAAACGUCAUCUGGAAGUUGAUAACGUGGAAGCCAGAUUUCUCUCCUCUAGUCUAAUGGAUGGAGGAGGAAACUCACGUGGUCUAGCAAACACGUGCUGCAGGCAGAGAUGCUCACUUCGUCACCUGAUUAACUUCUGCUGAACAUCAGCUGAUAAAAUUCUGCUGAACAUCAACUGAUAUAAUUAUGCUUAAUAUCAGCUGAUAAACUUCUGCUAAACAUCAGCUGAUUAACUUCUGCUGAACAUCAGCUGAUUAUACUUCUGCUGAAUAUCAGCUAAUCAACUUCUGCUGAAAAUCAGCUGAUUAACAUUUGUUGAACAUCAGCUGAUUAACAUUUGUUGAACGUCUGCUAAUUAACAUUUGUUGAACAUCAGCUCAUAAGUUGCACCUAAACAUCAGCGGAUUAGUUUCUGCUGAACAAUAGCUGAUUACUUCCAGCCGAAAACAGUUGAUUCGUAAAAUGAUUGAUUUCUGCUGAACAUCUGGUGAUUAUAAACUCCAGCUGAACAUCAGCUUAUUAGCUUCUGCUGAACAUCAGCUGCUUAGCUUCUGCUGGCCCUCAGCUGAUUAGUUUUUGCUUAAUAUCUUCUGAUGUAUUUCAUCUGAACAUCAGCUAAUUAGUUUCAGCUAAACAUCACUGAUUAGCUCCUGCUGAUCAUCAGCUGAUUAGUUUUGCAUAAUAUCAGCUGAUUAAUUUCUCCAUUAUCCAACUAAUUAUUUUCUCUAAUACAUCAGUAUAAAUGUGUAGAUGUGUUGUGUGAAAAUCGACCUAAAAAUAAACUGAAUUUGUUUUUAAAAAUAACAGAUUAAUUGAACAUA